UACAGAGGUGGCAAGCGUUGUUCGGAAUUACUGGGCGUAAAGGGCGCGUAGGCGGUCUUGCAAGUCCCGUGUGAAAUCCCUCGGCUCAACUGAGGAACUGCACGGGAAACUGCUUGGCUUGAGUUCGGGAGAGGGAAGCGGAAUUCCCAGUGUAGCGGUGAAAUGCGUAGAUAUUGGGAGGAACACCAGUGGCGAAGGCGGCUCACUGGACCGGUACUGACGCUGAGGCGCGAAAGCGUGGGGAGCAAACAGG
rnacentral:rRNA from 1 species